rnacentral:lncRNA from 1 species
AAAGGAGUGGUGGAUGGGGAGAAGGAGAGAAAUAUCUUUUUUCCCUUUCCUGGUGAAAAGAUGUAACAUAGCAAGGGAUUUUCUUUAAAUGGGCUGUCCUUUAACUUCUCUAAGCCAGAGACACUGCCAUCAGCCAACUACAUUUACUGACCAUCUAUUUUACAUCCUCUUUUAAGCUGUGUAAAGUCAUUCGCCUCAGGCUGAGCCUCAUUUCUUUAUCCCGUGGCUCUGAACCCCGCUGCACAUCACAAUCAACUUCGAGUUUUUAAAAAUACCAGUGCCUGCCACCUUCUAAGAGAUUCUGCUGUUAUUGGUGACUCUGAUGUAUAGCUGAUGAAGUCUGGAUCCCAGUCUCACUGCUCCUUCUCUGGUAAUUAAUACCAACGACUUGG